rnacentral:rRNA from 1 species
UAUUAGAGUUAAGUAAAGGUCGUCACCAGGUUUCCGUAGGUGAACCUGCGGAAUGAUCAUUA